rnacentral:rRNA from 1 species
CCUACGGGUGGCUGCAGUGGGGGAUAUUGCACAAUGGGGGGAACCCUGAUGCAGCGACGCCGCGUGAGUGAAGAAGCGUUUCGGUGUGUAAAGCUCUAUCGGCAGGGAAGAAGAUGACGGUACCUGACCAAGAAGCCCCGGCUAACUACGUGCCAGCAGCCGCGGUAAUACGUAGGGGGCAAGCGUUAUCCGGAUUUACUGGGUGUAAAGGGGGCGUAGACGGUAAUGUAAGCCUGGAGUGAAAGCCCGGGGCCCAACCCCGGCACUGCUUUUGAAACUGUGUAACUGGAGUACAGGAGGGGCAGGCGGAAUUCCUGGUGUAGCGGUGAAAUGCGUAGAUAUUAGGAGGAACACCGGUGGCGAAGGCGGCCUGCUGGACUGAAACUGACGUUGAGGCUCGAAAGCGUGGGGAGCAAACAGGAUUAGAUACCCGAGUAGUC